CUAUUGCCUUGCCGAAUCUCUUGCCAGUGAAUUUACUUACGCCAUUGAUUGAAUUCAGUAAUUUCUUUAGGCACAUUUGUUCAAAAGAUUUGAAGAUAGGUGACUUAGAAAAACUCCAAGAUUGCGUUGCAAUAACUCUAUAUCAUUUGGAGAAAAUAUUUCCUCCAUCUUUCUUUGAUAUCAUGGAACAUCUACUUAUCCAUUUAUCAGAAGAAGCAAUGUUGGGAGGACCUUCACAAUAUUGCUCUAUGUGGUUUAUCGAAAGUUAUUUGGAAGGAUUCAUAGCUACUAAGGAACAUCGUUGAUAUGACAAGAAAAAGACAGAGAAAUUCUAGUCAAGAUUCUGAGCAGCAAAAACAACAAAUCGAAAGUAUGCCAAUGCCUCAACCGCCCCAAAAUUGGCCACAAAAUGAAAGAGAUGAAUCCUAUGAUGCAAAAAAUCUUCGAGAUUUUGAGAAACAAAAGCAACAAAUCGGAAGAAUGUCAAUGCCUCAAUGCCCAAAAAUUGGCCACAAAAUGAAACAGUUGAAUCACAUGAUAAAAAAAUCUUCCAGAUUCUAAUGAGAGUGAAGAGCAAUCUAAGCAAACUAGGGGUCCCACUAUGAUGCACUCGGGAUGGGGGAAAUACGGUGAAAAUUUACAUAUUGAAUUGAAUGAACACGGUCAAGUUACUGAGUCAGAAGGAAAUAGGAUGAGUUCAAAACAUGGUGUGCUAGCACGAAAUGACAUCUUAGCGUCACUGAAUUAUAAAGAUUGGAGGCUUGUACCUAUUAUGUACAAGGAUAGAAUAUGGGCUCAUAUCAAGGAAAAUACUAACGCAGCUGAUGACAUGAAGCGCAUACUGAUGAUGUCAUUUGGAUCAAAAUAGAAAGAAUCAAAGCAUGAAGCAAAAAACAUUGGAUAUGCCCCAUACAACAAUGAUAUUGAGCGUUUAGCUCAUCGUCCAGAUAGAGUUGAAGAACAUCAGUGGCGUUCAUUAGUUCAUUAUUGGAGAUCAAAAGAAGCAAAGUUAUGUGCUAGGUUUCUACUUAUGCAUUUGCUCUACUAAAUGAGAAUUUCAUACAGGUUGUCAUAAAUUAUUAAUGUCGUGUUUUCCCUGAUUAUACUUCUUAUUGUAGAACAGUUAGAAGUUCUUUCUGAUUUGUCCCUUUCUUCUAAUUGGCUGAAAUAAUGUUGUUGUACAUUCCCAGUUUGCCAACCUGCACAAAAUGUUCUUGUAUAGAGAUUGAUUGCACUUUGGCAAACGCAACUAUGCUGUUUUUUUAUAUUUUUUUUCUUGGAUAUUUCUUUUAUAUAUUCAAGAUUGCACAUGUACUCUUAUAUAUUACUAGUAAAAAUACCCUCGCAUUGCGCGGGAGUUUAAUAUUACAAAAUUUGUAAAAUAAUACUUCAACUAUAUCGGUCAU